UUAGCAAUUAUACCUAUUGUUUUUUUCCAUUAGGGAGUCAAUCUGUGGAGGGGAAAGGGGAGGAUAUUUUUCCUUACUUGCUUACUCUCCCCUUCUCCUUCACCACCCCUGUAUCCUCCUGGAUCACUCUGCCUUCCUCCUUCACCACCCUCUUAUCCCCUGAGCUUGUCACAAUAGCUCUCCAAGAUAUUGAAUACUAUUGGGAUACUUGGAAUACCAUAGUCUUGUUGUUCUGCCUCAUGAAUGCACUUCAGGUUCUGCUUAAAGUUAAACAACUACUUGGGAAGCUCAUCCGGAGAUCUGCCCGGAGGCAGGAUAGUUGUGGGUGGCAGGGAGUAUGGGUGGAUAUGGGCAGGCAUCUAGAGCAGUUGGCACCCCCAGUGUGUUGGAAAUUCACCCCUGAGCAAUGGCAAAAUCCUCAAAAACUGGCAGAAUGCUUGAAAAAAAGGUGUCAUGAUUCUGGCAGUUCCAAAGUAACACAAAUCAUUGUAACGUGCUGGGGCCUGGCUCAUGCCUAUCGAGCUGCCAUUGAUACUGCUAUCAACUUAGUGACAGACCCUGCGGCCACUCCAAGCCCUGUGACAGAUCCAACGGCCACUGUGACCCCUACGGUGGAUUCUGCAGCCGCUCCAGCCCCAGCUCCUGCAGCCACUCCAGAUCCGGUUCCUGCAGCCGCUCCAGCUCCAGUUCCAGCUCCUGCAGCCGCUCCAGUCCCAGUUCCUGCAGCCGCUCCAGUUCCAGCUCCGGCCGCUACUCCAGUCCCAGUUCCUGCAACUGCUCCAGUCNNNNNNNNNNCCAGCUCCUGAAGCCGCUCCAGCUCCAGCUCCUACUGCUGCUCCAGUCCCAGCUCCUGCAACUGCUCCAGCUCCAGCUCCUGAAGCCGCUCCAGCUCCAGCUCCUACUGCUGCUCCAGUUCCAGCUCCUGCAACUGCUCCAGCUCCAGCUCCUGUAGCCGCUACAGCUCCUGUGGCCGUGUCAGAGAAACGAGCUGUAGCAGUGCA
rnacentral:lncRNA from 1 species